GACGAACGCUGGCGGCGUGCUUAACACAUGCAAGUCGAACGGAAAGGCCCUGCUUUUGUGGGGUGCUCGAGUGGCGAACGGGUGAGUAACACGUGAGUAACCUGCCCUUGACUUUGGGAUAACUUCAGGAAACUGGGGCUAAUACCGGAUAGGAGCUCCUGCUGCAUGGUGGGGGUUGGAAAGUUUCGGCGGUUGGGGAUGGACUCGCUGCUUAUCCGCUUGUUGGUGGGGUAGUGGCUUACCAAGGCUUUGACGGGUAGCCGGCCUGAGAGGGUGACCGGCCACAUUGGGACUGAGAGACGGCCCAGAAGCCUACGGGAGGCAGCAGGGGGGAAUAUUGCACAAUGGGCGGAAGCCUGAGGCAGCAACGCCGCGUGCGGGAUGACGGCCUUCGGGUGGUAAACCGAUGUCGAAUGUGACGAAGCGGGAGUGACGGUAAUGGGUAAAGAAGCACCGGCUAACUACGUG
rnacentral:rRNA from 1 species